GUGGGGAAUAUUGGACAAUGGGGGGAACCCUGAUCCAGCCAUGCCGCGUGUGUGAAGAAGGCCUUUUGGUUGUAAAGCACUUUAAGCGAGGAGGAGGCUACCGAGAUUAAUACUCUUGGAUAGUGGACGUUACUCGCAGAAUAAGCACCGGCUAACUCUGUGCCAGCAGCCGCGGUAAUACAGAGGGGUCAAGCGUUAAUCGGAUUUACUGGGCGUAAAGCGCGCGUAGGUGGCCAAUUAAGUCAAAUGUGAAAUCCCCGAGCUUAACUUGGGAAUUGAAUUGGAUACUGGUUGGCUAGAGUAUGGGAGAGGAUAGUAGAAUUCCAGGUGUAGCGGUGAAAUGCGUCGAGAUCUGGAGGAAUACCGAUGGCGACGGCAGCCAUCUGGCCUAAUACUGACACUGAGGUGCGAAAGCAUGGGGAGCAAACAGGAUUAGAAACCCGGGUAGUCC
rnacentral:rRNA from 1 species